rnacentral:rRNA from 1 species
UACGUAGGGGGCAAGCGUUGUCCGGAUUUACUGGGCGUAAAGAGCGCGUAGGCGGAAGCUUAAGUCCGUUGUGAAAUCCCUCGGCUCAACCGAGGAACUGCGACGGAUACUGCUUGGCUUGAGUCCCGGAGAGGGUAGCGGAAUUCCCAGUGUAGCGGUGAAAUGCGUAGAUAUUGGGAGGAACAUCGGUGGCGAAGGCGGCUACCUGGACGGGUACUGACGCUGAUGCGCGAAAGCUAGGGGAGCAAACAGG